UUGUAAUUUGUAGAGGGUUCUUUGGGGCCGUCUCUUAUCUAUGUUCCUUGGAACAGGACGUCAUAGAGGGUGAGAAUCCCGUAUGAUGAGAGUCGCGGUUCUUUGUAAAGUUCCUUCGAAGAGUCGAGUUGUUUGGGAAUGCAGCUCUAAGUGGGUGGUAAAUUCCAUCUAAAGCUAAAUAUUGGCGAGAGACCGAUAGCGAACAAGUACAGUGAUGGAAAGAUGAAAAGAACUUUGAAAAGAGAGUGAAAAAGUACGUGAAAUUGUUGAAAGGGAAGGGCAUUUGAUCAGACAUGGUGUUUUGCGCCCUCCGUUCCUUGUGGAUGGGGGACUCUCGCAGCUCACUGGGCCAGCAUCAGUUUUGGCGGUAGGAUAAAUCCAUUGGAAUGUGGCUCGCUUCGGUGAGUGUUAUAGCCUUUGGGAAUACUGCCAGCCGGGACUGAGGACUGCGACAUUCGUCAAGGAUGCUGGCAUAAUGGUUAUAUGCCGCCCGUCUUGAAACACGGACCACCA
rnacentral:rRNA from 1 species